rnacentral:tRNA from 3 species
GCGAAAGUAGCUCAGCUGGUAGAGCAUCACGUUGCCAACGUGAGGGUCGACGGUUCGAAUCCGUUCUUUCGCUCUA